CAACUAACAGAGUUGAACCUUUCUUUUCACAGAGCAGCUUUGAAACCCUGUUUUUGUGGAAUCUGCAAUUGGAAAUUUCGAUAGUUCUGAGGAUUUCGUUGGAAACGGGAUUACAAAUAGAAAGAAGACAGCAGCAUUCUCAGAAACUGCUUUGUGAUGUUUGCAUUCAAGUCACCUAGUUGAACAUUCCCUUUCAUAGAGCAGGUUUGAAUCACUGUUUCUGUAGUAUCUGGAAGUGGGUAUUUCGAGUGCUUUCAGGCCUAAGGUGAGAAAGGAAAUGUCUUCAAAUAAGAACUAGACAGAAGCAUUCUCAGAAACUUAUUUGUGAUGUGUGUCCUCAACUAACAGAGAUGAACCUUUGUUUUGACACAGCAGUUUGGAAACACUCUUUUUGUAGAAUCUACAAGAGGAUAUUUUCAGAGCAUUGAAAAUUUCGUUGGAAGCGGGAAAACCUUCAUAUAAAAUCUAGACAGCAGCAUUCUCAGAAACUUCUUUGUGAUGUUUGCAUUCAACUCAUAGAGUUGAACAUUCCCAUUCAUACAGCAGGUUUGAGACACUCUUUGUAUAGCAUGUGGAAAUGGAUAUUUGGAGCGCUUUGAGGCCUAUGGUGAAGAAGGAAAUAUCUUCCCAAAAAAACUAGACGAAAGCAUUCUCGGAAUCUUGUUUGCCAUGUGUGUACUCAACUAACAGAGUAGAACCUAUCUUUUGACAGAGCAGUUUUGAAACACUCUUUUUGUGGAAUCUGCAAGUGGAUAUUUGGAUAGCUUCGAGGAUUUCGUUGGAAACGGGAAUAUCCUCAUUUAAAAUCUAGACGGAAGCAUUCUCAGAACCUGCUUUGUGAUGUUUGCAUUCAACUCACAGAGCUGAACAUUCCCGUUCAUAGAGCAGGUUUGAAACACUCUUUCUGUACUAUCUGGAAGUGGACAUUUCGAGCGCUUUCAGGCCUAUGGUGAAAAAGGAAACAUCUUCAAAUAAAAACUAGACAGAAGCAUUCUCAGAAACUUAUUUGUGAUGUGUGUCCUCAACUCACAGAGUUCAACCUUUGUUUUGAUACAGCAGUUUGGAAACACUCUUUUUGUAGAAUCUACAAAUGGAUAUUUGGAGACCUUUGAAAAUUUCGUUGGACACGGGAAUAUCUUCAUAUAAAAUCUAGACAAAAGCAUUCUCAGAAUCUUCUUUGUGAUGUUUGCAUUCAACUCAUAGAGUUGAACAUUCCCUUUCAUACAGCACGUUUGAAACACACUUUGUGGAGUAUGUGGAAAUGGACAUUUUGAGCACUCUUAGGCCUAAGGUGAAAAGGGAAAUAUCUUCAAAUAAAAACUAGUCAGCAGCAUUCUCAGAAACCUCUUUGUGAUGUGUGUACUCAACUAACAGAGUUGAACCUUCCUUUUCACAGAGCAGUUUGGAAACACUCUUUUUGUGGCAUUUGCAAG
rnacentral:lncRNA from 1 species